GACGAACGCUGGCGGCGCGCUUAACACAUGCAAGUCGAACGGAAAGGCCUGCUUUCCCUUGUGGAUUGCGGGUACUCGAGUGGCGAACGGGUGAGUAACACGUGAGUGAUCUGCCCCCAACUUGGGUAUAAGCCUGGGAAACUGGGUCUAAUUCCCGAUAGGACUGCAGGGUGGUGCCUGUGGUGGAAAACGAUUUUCUAGUGGUUGGGGAUGAGCUCGCGGCCUAUCAGCUUGUUGGUGGGGUAAUGGCCUACCAAGGCGGCGACGGGUAGCCGGCCUGAGAGGGUGGACGGCGACAUUGGGACUGAGAUACGGCCCAGACUCGUACGGGAGGCAGCAGUGGGGAAUAUUGCACAAUGGGCGGAAGCCUGAUGCAGCGACGCCGCGUGGGGGAUGACGGCCUUCGGGUUGUAAACUCCUUUCGACCGCGAGGAAGCCACCUGGUUGGAAGGGUGGUGACGGUAGUGGUAGAAGAAGCACCGGCUAACUACGUG
rnacentral:rRNA from 1 species